GGGCGGGUGGCGGAAUUGGCAGACGCAACGGACUUAAAAUCCGUCGGCCGCAAGGCCAUGCGGGUUCGAGUCCCGCCCUGCCCA
rnacentral:tRNA from 1 species